rnacentral:lncRNA from 1 species
CUCAGAUUAGGUAGGAACGCACUCUGAUGCUCUUUCAAGCUGAUUCCUAUUGCUUCUACCUUUGAUGUGCUGAGAUGAGAUUUUUCACUGAGGCUGCUACUUCACAUCUUGAUUGGAACCUGAUGGGGCAAAAAAUAAACAAAAAGCAAGAGGAAGUAGUGGUACUAGGUGGUCUGUCCAUGGAAAGAAGCUCUCCUUGGACUUUAGCGGGUGAUAAUAACUAAGAGGCAGUCUUGGAGGGAAGGCAGAAUCCCACCGUGGCUCCAGUGGAUGCGGCUGCACUACAGAGAUGGAGAUGGAUGUUCAGCUGAGCGUCUUACCCUGCUCCAACUCACAAUUUGGCUUCAAAUCCCAGAUGGGGUCUGGUUCUGUUGCCCAAGCUGGAGUGCAGUGGGACAAUCUCAGCUCACUGCAAACUCCACCUCCCAGGCUCAAGCAACCCUCCCACCUCAGCCUCCUGAGUAGCUGGGACUACAGGCACGUACCAUCAUACUAGCGAGUUUUUUGUAGAAAAUAUUUAUCUUAACUCAUUACAAUAAAUCCUAUUGCCCUCUUCUUCAGGAAUUACUAUUUUCUCUUAAGAACUGCUUAAACAUAGAGGGGAUGCCAAUGGUAAUUGGAUUUGUCAAAAAUUCAAUUCUGUUUCCAUACUGCUUACCCUAUAAUUAAACAAUUGAAACCAUUUUGUAAUUAGGACUCUUUUGAAUUUAUUCUGCAUUUUUCCUAG